UACAGAGGUCUCAAGCGUUGUUCGGAUUUACUGGGCGUAAAGGGCGCGUAGGCGGCAAUUCAAGUCACUUGUGAAAUCUCCGAGCUUAACUCGGAACGGUCAAGUGAUACUGUCUUGCUAGAGUGCAGAAGGGGCAAUCGGAAUUCUUGGUGUAGCGGUGAAAUGCGUAGAUAUCAAGAGGAACACCUGCGGUCGAAGCGGGUUGCUGGGCUGACACUGACGCUGAGGAGCGAAAGCGUGGGGGAGCGAACAGGG
rnacentral:rRNA from 1 species